AGAGUUUGAUCAUGGCUCAGAUUGAACGCUGGCGGCAUGCCUUACACAUGCAAGUCGAACGCGAAAGUGGGGGCAACCCUGCGAGUAGAGUGGCGAACGGGUGAGUAAUACAUCGGAACGUACCCAGGAGUGGGGGGACAACCUCGAGAAAUCGAGGCUAAUACCGCAUACGUCCUGAGGGAGAAAGCGGGGGAUUCGCAAGGACCUCGCGCUCAUGGAGCGGCCGAUGUCGGAUUAGCUAGUUGGCGGGGUAAAGGCCCACCAAGGCUACGAUCCGUAGCUGGUUUGAGAGAACGACCAGCCACACUGGGACUGAGACACGGCCCAGACUCCUACGGGAGGCAGCAGUGGGGAAUUUUGGACAAUGGGGGAAACCCUGAUCCAGCCAUGCCGCGUGAGUGAAGAAGGCCUUCGGGUUGUAAAGCUCUUUCGGCCGGAACGAAAUCGCGUACGUGAAUAACGUGCGUGGAUGACGGUACUGGAAGAAGAAGCACCGGCUAACUACGUGCCAGCAGCCGCGGUAAUACGUAGGGUGCGAGCGUUAAUCGGAAUUACUGGGCGUAAAGCGUGCGUAGGCGGUUUUGUAAGUCAGAUGUGAAAUCCCCGGGCUUAACCUGGGAACUGCGUUUGAGACUACAGAGCUAGAGUGUGGCAGAGGGGGGGUGGAAUUCCACGUGUAGCAGUGAAAUGCGUAGAUAUGUGGAGGAACACCGAUGGCGAAGGCAACCCCCUGGGCCAACACUGACGCUGAGGCACGAAAGCGUGGGGAGCAAACAGGAUUAGAUACCCUAGUAGUCC
rnacentral:rRNA from 1 species